CAGUUCCACGAAUUAAGAGGCUGGACACUCAAGCACUUAGCCACUCUGGCCAUGUCACUCCAAGUAGAGAGAGCUUCCUGAACACCAGCUAAAAUAAGGCACGGCAGGGCCACCAUGAGCAACUAAGAGGACCAUUGGCCAUGAGUCUCUUUUGAGCAAGAAUUGGGCCCUCAGGCAGACAAGGACCUUUAAGCAGAGACUAGAAUGAUGAGAAGAAAGCAGGCAUGAUGAGAUCCAAAAGGAAAUCAUUCCAAUCAGAAGGAAGUGGAAGUGCAUAGGCCCUAAGACCCCAAUGGCUGCUUUGAGGAGGACUGCAAAGGACACAACA